rnacentral:rRNA from 1 species
GACGAACGCUGGCGGCGUGCUUAACACAUGCCAGUCGAACGGAAAGGCCCUCCUUGCAGGGUACUCGAGUGGCGAACGGGUGAGUAACACGUGGGUGAUCUGCCCUGCACUUCGGGAUAAGCCUGGGAAACUGGGUCUAAUACCGGAUAGGAGCCAUUUUUAGUGUGAUGGUUGGAAAGUUUUUUCGGUGUAGGAUGAGCUCGCGGCCUAUCAGCUUGUUGGUGGGGUAAUGGCCUACCAAGGCGGCGACGGGUAGCCGGCCUGAGAGGGUGGACGGCCACAUUGGGACUGAGAUACGGCCCAGACUCCUACGGGAGGCAGCAGUGGGGAAUAUUGCACAAUGGGCGCAAGCCUGAUGCAGCGACGCCGCGUGGGGGAUGACGGCCUUCGGGUUGUAAACUCCUUUCGCUAGGGACGAAGCUUUUUGUGACGGUACCUAGAUAAGAAGCACCGGCUAACUACGUG